rnacentral:ncRNA from 1 species
GAAUAUCUCCGAGCUUUUCAUCCUAAAGGAUUCCAAUGGAUGGAUCGCCUGAGCUGUCUGCUCACAGGGUAUGAUUGGAAACAGUUAUACCUCCCGUUUUGGAAAGGAGAAAG